AGUGAACGCUGGCGGUAGGCCUAACACAUGCAAGUCGAACGGCAGCACAGUAAGAGCUUGCUCUUACGGGUGGCGAGUGGCGGACGGGUGAGGAAUACAUCGGAAUCUACUUUUUCGUGGGGGAUAACGUAGGGAAACUUACGCUAAUACCGCAUACGACCUACGGGUGAAAGCAGGGGAUCUUCGGACCUUGCGCGAUUGAAUGAGCCGAUGUCGGAUUAGCUAGUUGGCGGGGUAAAGGCCCACCAAGGCGACGAUCCGUAGCUGGUCUGAGAGGAUGAUCAGACACACUGGAACUGAGACACGGUCCAGACUCCUACGGGAGGAAGCAGUGGGGAAUAUUGGACAAUGGGCGCAAGCCUGAUCCAGCCAUACCGCGUGGGUGAAGAAGGACUUCGGGUUGUAAAGCCCUUUUGUUGGGAAAGAAAAGCAGCAGGUUAAUACCCCGCUGUUCUGACGGUACCCAAAGAAUAAGCACCGGCUAACUUCGUG
rnacentral:rRNA from 1 species